rnacentral:rRNA from 1 species
UACGUAGGGUGCAAGCGUUAAUCGGAAUUACUGGGCGUAAAGCGUGCGCAGGCGGUGAUGUAAGACAGAUGUGAAAUCCCCGGGCUCAACCUGGGAACUGCAUUUGUGACUGCAUCGCUGGAGUGCGGCAGAGGGGGGGAUGGAAUUCCGCGUGUAGCAGUGAAAUGCGUAGAUAUGCGGAGGAACACCGAUGGCGAAGGCAAUCCCCUGGGCCUGCA